rnacentral:hammerhead_ribozyme from 1 species
AUCCAGCUUGUGAGUCUCAAAUAGGAUGAAACGCGCUUCCUGGAU